rnacentral:rRNA from 1 species
GACGAACGCUGGCGGCGUGCCUAACACAUGCAAGUCGAGCGAGUGAAUCUCCUUCGGGAGUGAAGCUAGCGGCGGACGGGUGAGUAACACGUGGGCAACCUGCCUCAUAGAGGGGAAUAGCCUUUCGCAAGGAAGAUUAAUACCGCAUAAGAUUGUAGCUUCGCAUGAAGUAGCAAUUAAAGGAGCAAUCCGCUAUGAGAUGGGCCCGCGGCGCAUUAGGUAGUUGGUGAGGUAACGGCUCACCAAGGCGACGAUGCGUAGCCGACCUGAGAGGGUGAUCGGCCACAUUGGGACUGAGACACGGCCCAGACUCCUACGGGAGGCAGCAGUGGGGAAUAUUGCACAAUGGGGGAAACCCUGAUGCAGCAACGCCGCGUGAGUGAUGACGGCCUUCGGGUUGUAAAGCUCUGUCUUCAGGGACGAUAAUGACGGUACCUGAGGAGGAAGCCACGGCUAACUACGUGCCAGCCGCCGCGGUAAUAC